UCCACCGCAACAUAGAAUUUCAGGAAUUCAUUACCGACCUCCGGAAACCUUUUCUCAGAGCCUUUCUCUACUCUCAUUGUCUUCUCAGUGCCUUUGAUAGCUACAAAAUUGAAAAUAAAUAGUGAUGAGUACGUCUCUGUGCAAAAGAAAUUAACAAAAAUGCCAAAGGCACACUUCUAGACUUCACAGGUUCUUCAACAUUUAAGCAAAAGUCAAGCAUAUUCCUAGUGAAAAGAUAAAAAGAAAGUACACAAUUUCAAGUAUUUUUCUUUGUGAGGUCGUGCUUUGGAGGAAUGGAUCAAGCUUUUAUUGCCAGUGGAAGCGAGGACUCACAGCUUGCUGGAAGCCAUUGAUUACAUUCUUGAAGGUGCCCAGAACCUGGUUAUACCAAUUCAAAACUACAGGAGCACCCCUUUGAGGAAAAAACUUUUGAGUAAAGCAUCAUCUCUGAGUCCCACGAAUCACAACGGUGUUGAAUACUGCAAGGCAUAGGUAAUUGACUCUUAAGAAUAUGAGUGAUUCGCCAUCAUCCGUUGCCGGUGUUCCUUGUACUCCUACUACUCCAAGUACUCCAGAUAUCUCUAUUGGGUCUACUAGCAGCUCAUCGUCAUCUAGUCGGUUGGUCAUCUCAG